UCUGGAAACUNUCUGACUUGAGUGCAGAAGGGGAGAGUGGAAUUCCAUGUGUAGCGGUGAAAUGCGUAGAUAUAUGGAGGANCACCAGUGGCGAAAGCGGCUCUCUGNUCUGUCACUGACGCUGAGGCUNGAAAGCGUGGGUAGCGAACAGGAUUAGAUACCCUGGUAGUCCACGCCGUAAACGAUGAGUGCUAGGUGUUAGGCCCUUUCCGGGGCUUAGUGCCGGAGCUAACGCAAUAAGCACUCCGCCUGGGGAGUACGACCGCAAGGUUGAAACUCAAAGGAAUUGACGGGGGCCCGCACAAGCGGUGGAGCAUGUGGUUUAAUUCGAAGCAACGCGAAGAACCUUACCAGGUCUUGACAUCCCGAUGCUAUUCUUAGAGAUAGGAAGUUACUUCGGUACAUCGGAGACAGGUGGUGCAUGGUUGUCGUCAGCUCGUGUCGUGAGAUGUUGGGUUAANNNNNGCAACGAGCGCAACCCUUAUUGUUAGUUGCCAUCAUUAAGUUGGGCACUCUAGCGAGACUGCCGGUAAUAAACCGGAGGAAGGUGGGGAUGACGUCAAAUCAUCAUGCCCCUUAUGACCUGGGCUACACACGUGCUACAAUGGUCGGUACAACGAGUUGCGAGCCGGUGACGGCAAGCUAAUCUCUGAAAGCCGAUCUCAGUUCGGAUUGGAGGCUGCAACUCGCCUCCAUGAAGUCGGAAUCGCUAGUAAUCGCGGAUCAGCACGCCGCGGUGAAUACGUUCCCGGGCCU
rnacentral:rRNA from 1 species